rnacentral:rRNA from 1 species
ACCUCGCGCGAUAGGAGCGGCCGAUGUCAGAUUAGCUAGUUGGUGAGGUAAAGGCUCACCAAGGCGACGAUCUGUAGCGGGUCUGAGAGGACGGCCCGCCACACUGGAACUGAGACACGGUCCAGACUCCUACGGGAGGCAGCAGUGGGGAAUUUUGGACAAUGGGCGCAAGCCUGAUCCAGCCAUUCCGCGUGAGUGAAGAAGGCCUUCGGGUUGUAAAGCUCUUUCGGCAGGAACGAAACGCUCUGGGCUAAUACCCCGGGGUAAUGACGGUACCUGAAGAAGAAGCACCGGCUAACUACGUGCCAGCAGCCGCGGUAAUACGUAGGGUGCGAGCGUUAAUCGGGAUUACUGGGCGUAAAGCGUGCGCAGGCGGUUUUGUAAGACAGAUGUGAAAUCCCCGGGCUUAACCUG